ACUGCUCAGUAACACGUAGCUAAUCUACCCUUAAGUCAAGGAUAACCUCGGGAAACUGAGGAUAAUACUUGAUAGGAGAUAUACCCUGGAAAGAUUUAUCUCAUAAAUUCGAGCUUAAGGAUGAGGCUGCGGCGGAUUAGGUGGUUGGCGGGGUAAAGGCCCACCAAGCCGAUGAUCCGUAAGGGCUCUUAGCGGAGAGGCCCUGAGAGGGAAUCUGAGACACUAUUCCCAGCCCUACGGGGUGCAGCAGGUAAGAAUCUUUUGCAAUGCGCGCAAGCGUGACAAAGCGAGCCAGAGUGCUUUUCAAUUGAAAAGCUUUUGCUAAAUCUAAAAAUUUUGGCGAAUAAGGACUGAGUAAGACUAGUGCCAGCCGCCGCGGUAAUCCUAGCGGUCCAAGUCGCAGCCAUCAUUAUUGGGUCUAAAACAUCCGUAGCUUGCUUAAUAAGUUCCUUGUGAAAUCUUAUCUCUUAAGGGUGAGGCGUGCAAGGAGUACUGCUAAGCUAGAGACUGGAAGACGUAAGAAGUAUGCUCAAAGUAGGGGUAAAAUGUGUUAAUCUUGAGCAGACUCACAACAGCGAAGGCAUCUUACGAGGACAGUUCUGACAGUAAAGGAUGAAGGCUAGGGGCGCGAAGUGGAUUAGAUACCCAUGUAGUCCUAGCAGUAAACACUGCGCACUAAACAUUAGUACCUCCUCGAGAGGUAUUGGUGCUGUAGAGAAGUCGAAGAGUGCGCUACCUGGGAAGUAUAGCCGCAAGGCCGAAACUUAAAGGAAUUGGCGGGGGAGCAC
rnacentral:rRNA from 1 species